rnacentral:rRNA from 1 species
AAAGGCAGUUAGUACUCAGUGAUUUAAGUUAAUUAAUUAUCUGUAAAGAGGUAAAAUUUAAAUACAGUUAUAUAAAUUUAUAUUAACUAGGUUAGUUGAAUCUGCGAUACCCUUGAGGGAAACUGGGAUCAGAUACCCCAUUAUUCUUGGAUGUAAAUAUAAUUGAAUUUACCAGAGUACUAUGAACGAAAAAGCUUAAAACUCAAAGGGCUUGGCGGUGUUUUAGACCUUUCAGGGGAACCUGUCUCAUAAUCGACAAUCCGCGUUAAACCUAACCUUUUUUUGUAAACAGUCUGUAUACCGUCGUCGUCAGGUAACUUUUAAAAAACUAAGAGUUAGCAAAUUAAUUUUAUAAAUUUAAACGUCAGAUCAAGGUGCAACUAAUAAAAAGGUAGAGAUGGGUUACAAUUAUAUAAUUAUAUAUCGAAAAAUUACAUGAAUAACUAUUUAGAAGGAGGACUUGAAAGUAAAAUUGAUUAUAUAAACAGUUUGAAUAAGGCUCUGAAACGUGCACACAUCGCCCGUCGCUCUCGUUGAAAAAUGAGAUAAGUCGUAACAUAGCAGGGGUAAUGGAAAUUGUCCCUAGACU